rnacentral:tRNA from 1 species
GACGCAUUUGACUUCUGGUGAGGUCCCCGGUCUUUCACGCCGGUCAGGUCGGGUUCGAAUCCCACAUGCGUCA